rnacentral:rRNA from 1 species
UACAGAGGGUGCGAGCGUUGUUCGGAAUUAUUGGGCGUAAAGGGCGCGUAGGCGGUGCGGUAAGUCACCUGUGAAAUCUCCUGGCUCAACUGGGAGCUUGCAGGCGAAACUGCAGGGCUUGAGUGUGGGAGAGGUGAGUGGAAUUCCUGGUGUAGCGGUGAAAUGCGUAGAUAUCAGGAGGAACACCUGUGGCGAAAGCGGCUCACUGGACCACAACUGACGCUGAUGCACGAAAGCUAGGGGAGCAAACAGG